GCCCCGGUAGCUCAGUUGGAUAGAGCAACAGCCUUCUAAGCUGUGGGUCAACCGUUCGAAUCGGUUCCGGGGUA
rnacentral:tRNA from 1 species